rnacentral:tRNA from 1 species
ACUCCGAUAGCUUAUCUCUGAGAGCAUAACGCUGAAGACGUUAAGGUGGCAUGUAUGCCUUGGGGUA